rnacentral:rRNA from 1 species
GACGAACGCUGGCGGCGUGCUUAACACAUGCAAGUCGAACGGAAAGGCCCUGCUUUUGUGUGGUGCUCGAGUGGCGAACGGGUGAGUAACACGUGAGUAACCUGCCCUUGACUUUGGGAUAACUUCAGGAAACUGGGGCUAAUACCUGAUAGGAGCUCCUGCUGCAUGGUGGGGGUUGGAAAGUUUCGGCGGUUGGGGAUGGACUCGCGGCUUAUCAGCUUGUUGGUGGGGUAGUGGCUUACCAAGGCUUUGACGGGUAGCCGGCCUGAGAGGGUGACCGGCCACAUUGGGACUGAGAUACGGCCCAGACUCCUACGGGAGGCAGCAGUGGGGAAUAUUGCACAAUGGGCGGAAGCCUGAUGCAGCAACGCCGCGUGCGGGAUGACGGCCUUCGGGUUAUAAACCGCUUUCGCCUGUGACGAAGCGUGAGUGACGGUAAUGGGUAAAGAAGCACCGGCUAACUACGUG